ACAAGAGAAAAGAGAGACUGCCGAAUAGAUAGGCAACACGGGGGACACGUUUUUAGAAUUAGGUUAAGAAUUUUUGGAAUCCCGUCGGAAAUGGCGCUAGUGUUUGGUGGCCAGUUCAAGAACUAGUGGAUGUGGAUGAAAGAAAUCUGUAAUCUAUGACAGAACUCAAGUCAGCUGAUUUCCGUCAUUCCGUCUGAGUUUGUUUUGUUUUUUGUUUAAUGCAAAAAGUUAGAGUAUUUCGAGAUUUUUGUUUAUUCCCCGAAAAAGAAAUUGUUUGCUUUCGAACACAUGAUCCCAUGCCCAGAAGAAACAAGAAAGACUCAAAUGGCUUUCAAGUCUGGAUGGCUUUAAACAAUAAAUGCCACACAAAAGUUGUAGGGACCAGGGAUUCAAGUUUUUGAGAACUAGAAGUCUCAAUCUAGGGGAUCCUCCAGGAAAUAUGUUUGCUGCUUUUCGAACUGUUAUUAUUACAACAUAUAAAACUGCAAUAAUUUGAUAUUUGACCAUUUCUAAAUCGAACAAGAGUUAUGAAAAUGAUGAGAAUGGCAUAUUGUACCGCCAUUUGGACAUAUUGCAUCGAUAACCCCUAAGUUGAAAUUAUUUUUAAAGUCGCAUGUAACAUUUUUCUGGUUUACAUAUGAAGAACAUGUGGACUCGGUUGUUCAUGAUUAAUUGGAUUAUGGUAUGUAUUUCUCUAAUAAUUGUAAAAAAGUAUUACGAUAAUAUACAAUAUGAUAUGACCACAUAGAAAUAAAGCCUGAAUCCAUCAAUUUCAGUUAUUCAUGUAAAUCAAAGUUCAGUUUUUGUGUUUAGUUUGGCCCAUAUUAUUUAUCCAUUCAACCCUUUAAAAGAUCAGUUCCUUUAUAUAAUGUAUCCUGUACAAUAUUGUAAUUAUAGUUGUUAUUGUCAAAUAUUUCUAUUAUAUAUUCAUUUCGGUUAAAUUUCUGUAUAUUCUUUCUAUACAAAUGUAAUUUUCUAAUAUUUUCCUGAAUAUAUAUUUAUUUCAGUUGA